AAAAUUUGCAAUGGAACCUAAUUGAUACUUCAUGGCUCCUUUAGAAUCUCUAAAGACAAAAAGUGAGUUAUUGGGGCUAGAGAGAUGCCUCAUUUGCUCUUCCAGAGGACCCAGGGUUAAAGUCCCAGCACUCAUGUGUGGGUUCACACCUGUCUAUAACUCCCGUCCUAAGGGAUCCACCAUCUUCUUUUCCUCCACUGGCACCAGGCAUGUAUGUGGUACACACACAUACAUGCAGACAAAACAUGCAUACACUUAAGAAAAAACUAUAGUGUAUAGAAAAGUGAGUUAUUGCUUUAUUCACAACUGGCCACAGGCAGCCUUGGAAAUAAGGUGUGGAAAUGGCUCUAAUCAGUUCAGCAGAAGAGCAUCUAAACACUGAGAGCCUCUGUGCUCUGCCUCCCUAGUUCAGUUUCCUGAUGUGACUAUUUAAAGUGAGAGCCAUGUGGUAUCUUACAGGACACUGUUUUACCUUUCAUCAAGGUUGCCUAACACAUCUCCAUGAAGAAGUGUUGGGUUGUUAAAGUACUGUUUGUAUUACUUUGUUGUUUCUUUAAAAGUCACUUAUUUGCUUUUACUGAAGUUAAAUGCUGGGGCAGGCAUCAUGAACACUUGUAAUUCUGUGGUAUCUAGGUAUUAAGUGUAGCAGAGAAUAAUAAAAAAGGAUUUAGCUUCCUACACGGGUGGGCCAUAUGGCACCAGCAAGGUGUUCUCUCGGUAGACCUCUAACCCUUUGUUCUCAAAAUGUUUCCACCCGACUAGCUAAGUUCCCGUGCAGGUUGGUACCAUGCCAGCCCCACACAUCCAAAUUCCAAGACCUUUCUCUUGAACUCAGUUGAGUUGUCUCAUGAAGGAAAACACCACACAAACUUAGUUUAGAAUUAACCUGUAACUCAAUCGCUGGGCGCCAACUACUAACAUCCUAAUUAGUAAGCCAUACUAAGUUAAAUCCUCCUGAGUUUGAGGCCAGCCUGGGCUACCUAGUUAAUUCCAGGCCAGCCCUUGGUUACAAUGUGAGACUCCAUCUCAAAAAACAAACAAACCAACCAACCACAAGAAGAAGAAGAAAAAAAAAAAAAAAAA
rnacentral:lncRNA from 1 species